CAAGAUAUUAUUUGGUGAAUUGUUUUCUUUAUUCUUAAUUAUCGGCGGAACCUUGGAUAUAUUCUAUAUUAAAUGACGGGAUAAUUUAAUACCACUUAUAUGAAAAAGGACAGUGCUUAUUCUUCGAAUAAUAACAGGUUUUGCUAACUCAUUUGACAGGCGCAUUUUGCAGGUAAUUCACAGGCGGGAAUUAGAACUCUAUCGAUUCUGCUGAAUGCUUACGGAGUUGUUGGUGAAGGCGGCACAUGAAGAUCAAAAUUAUAACUUGUUGAGAUUGGCACAUUGAUUGGAGACAAUGGGGUCUGGGUGUUGUACACGUAGGAUUUUCCUCGAUAAAGAUCUGGCUUGACUAUCUCCAAGGACUCGACGGGCACUUCAGACUCUGUUACAGGUUCCUGCAAAUUAUUUUACGGAUAUGUGAUCUAUUCAUUAUGAUGUUACGUGAUUAAAAUAUAAACAAAAAUAUAUCUUAACAUUUCUAUUUUAAAACUGUCAUAAAAAAAAAAGAAAUUAAAAGCCAUUUCUAUUGCAUUUCUUUUUCUGAACAACAAUAAUACAAUUAAAAUUAUUAAAUUUUUUAUUGUUAUUAGAUCUUUGUUUUAAUAUAAUGUGAUUUAUGAGAUUAAUAAAAGUUAUAUUUUUUUAUGCAACUUAAGUUAUAUAGCUCAA